CUAUAGGAAUCCCUUGUUAAUUAACAACCCUUUCCCGAACCUAAAACAAGAUCGAACAAAAGCGACACAGGUAACGUUAAGUCCCAAACGUAUUUCUUCCCGCUAUUACAUUCAUAGUGAUAUCACAGAGCAGAAAAGGCUUUUCAUAUUGAUAAGAUUGUUAUCUUGGUGCGACAUAAUUACAGCAGUGGACUUCUGUGGGCUGAGAGAAUAGAAUAGAAAAAAAAACGAAUAUGAUUUCUAUUGAUUGAUAUUAACCAAGUUUGAGGGAACAACUGCGAAAUUGAAGUUUAAAGCUCGUAAUUAUACGCACAACGAUUUGAGAAGAAGUAAAACUGGAGCGUCAAGCUGUCAAGCGGCGUAUGACUAUUUCGAGGUCAGCCAUGGAUAGGCUGAAGAAAAUAUGGGAGAAUCGAAAUAUCACCAAAGCCACUCAAAUUAGACUUAUAAGAGCGCUGGUCUUCUCCAUUUUUAUUUAUGCUGCUGAGACCUGGACAUUAAGAGCAAGUGAGAAAAAGAGGAUAGAUGCUUUCUAAAUCUGAUGCUGGAUAAGAAUUAUACAAAUAUCAUGGACGGAGUUCAAAACGAAUCAGUCAAUUCUACAGGAACUUGGCAUCAAGCAGCGACUAUCCUCCAUCGUUCAGGGUCGCAUUCUCACUUUCUUCGGGCAUGUGUCGCGGCGGGGUGACGACUCAGUUGAGCGCCUUGUGGUGCAGAGCAUGGUUGAGGGUACAAGACCGCGCACAGCAGAUCACCGUUACGUUGGACCGACCAAACAAUGGCAGCUCUAAACGGUCCCACUAACGAGUGAAUAAGAAGGGCCGCAGUACGCGAGGAAUGGCGACAUCUGGUGAGGCGCACCACCACCCGAAGUGAUGACCAGGGGGGUGCAACUCCCAUACAAAGGAAAAGAACAUUCAACUAGCGUCAUCUUUAGGAACCGGCGAGGUCAUUUUUGAAACGUUUUGGCCUUAAUGAACUAAUAAACUCACUAGAUGGCAGAUACGAGUUCUGACUCAAUAAAAAAGGUUAGCGUACUUUGAAGCAGUGCUUCCACUUUUAGGGAAUUCUCCCUUUUUUAGGGAAAAAUAGCUGAUAUUUUGGAUGAUAAAGACAAUUUAAAAAAUACCAGGAUUUAGGAUAUUUCGGGGUAAAAAGCAAAGCCUAUACUAGUAACUGUUGUGAAUUUUAAAAUAAACGAUAAUUAAAGUAAAACAAUGAACAUUUUAUUUUAUGGAGAGAGAAUGACAUUAAGUCGAGUUGACAAGUAAAAGAAUAAAAAAGAGUUGUGUAUAAAAACUAUAAAGGUUUGAUUCAACAGUAACCCUCUAGUAAAGUAAAUCAUAGAUUAAGCCACUGCUUUUUUCUUAGGGAUUCCCCAGAAUCCCAAUAAGUAUAAUCCGCCAAACUUUUAUUUACCUAUUUUCGUUGAUGUCACCAGAACUUACUUGUAUUGUAAUAUACAGGUACUUCAUGUACCAUGAAAGAUUAUCAUGGUAAUUUCAUUUACGAAAACCUUGUAAUUGUCAUUUCCCUUUUGCUAGCAGUUCCUUCUUCAAAGACUGAGGUGGAAAGAUUAUUCAGUGUUCUCAAAUGUAAAAACUGACAAAAGAAACAGGCUUUCUAAUGAAACCCUGAACGGCUUGCUUCAUAGAAAGUUCCCAACUUUGCCAGCAAACAAUUGCUCAAUUUUAGAACCGAACAGUGUUAGGUUGCGUGCAGCAAAAGAAUAUAAAAGCAAUGCGUCGACUUCCUUGAAAAUUCUAAUCCUAUAGAUCUAUGAUCUUCUGGGGGCGUUUAUAUUAUAUAUACCUACAUUAAAUAAUAUGCUGUGGUUUAUUUUCUGUAUUUUAUUUAUGCUUUCUAUAUAAAGGAUUUAUGAAAGUUGUCUAGGAAAUUUUAGGGAUAAAUUCAAAAGAAACUAGGGUAAAAUGUGUUAAAAAAAACGUAAGUGGAAACACUGCUUUGAAGUUUUCAAAAUUCCAGGGCCGUAAAAAAAUCUCAAAAAAAAAAAAAAAGUUUUCAAAAUGUCGUAACGAUUUAAUUUUUUAAAUCGUUUUUUUUUUGGUCUUGGUAAAGUUUAUUAUUAAAAAUCAGCAUGCCUCGAAGAUCGAAAAUGAAAUGCUAUUUCGGAUGCCUUGAUAACGACAAAGGUUUGAUAAUGACAAAAUUUUAUGGAAAAAUUAUAAGGAGCACUAAAAUGUCUGAAACAUGAAAAGAUUGAUGCACUAUAUUUGAACCAGAACGUGUUAUGUAAUAUAUUAAUUUAAGAGAAACUGAUUCAGCAAGGAAUGUGAACUCACAAGGGAUCUUAAUUUUUUUUAAAUAUGUUUAUAAUUUAUAAAUUAAUAAUUGAAAUAGUUCAUAAGAACUAAAUUGAUGCCAAUUUUGUUUUAAAAUAGGUUGUUUAGUUCUUAUAGUUAUACUAUUACGUUUGAAUAGUUGUAAUUAGUAAGUUAGUAAUAUAUGAAAAUACUGAUAUAAAUUUUUGUAAAUGACCUUUUGUUAAUUCUACGAGAAGAUGAUUUUAAUUAAUGAUCAAAAGUUAACGAUCUUCAAAAGCAUUAUUUGCAAUUAUUUAGAUUAACUGUGGAAUAUAUUUGCUAAGUUGUGUUUUCUGUAUGAGCAGAUAUAAAUGAAAAUGCCCAAACAUGAUUAUGUUUCUUACAUUUUCAUUAUGUGAAAUCAAUAUGCUUGUGACUGAGUAUAUUAAUAAUUUAUUAAAACUUAAGUGAUAGACAGCAACCCCUAUGACACUGCUGAAGUUUAUAAGCACUGGUGACCACUUAUCAUGAGCCGGGUUGUGUGCUCGUCUGCUGUUGAGUGCAAUAAAAAUUUUCGAGACCCUUUCUAUUAUUUAGAUGUAAUAUUAAUGUACAUUUAAUUUGGAUUAAAAGAUAAAUUUACAUUUUAUGUUUGCAUGUGUAUGUUUAUAAUUCAUUUGCAUGUAACGAACAUCAGUUUCUUUUGUAACAAAAUGCAAACUAAUGGUUUGUAAUGAAUGUAAUUAACUUUAAGAUGAUUUUCUUUCAAUCUGCUGUUUGUUUCAUCUAGUAUUACCAAAGCUAAAGCAUCAGUAACGUCAGAAUAGAAAUAAUUUAGAUAGGGAAUAAAAGUAUAAGUAUUGUAAUCAUGUCUAAGAUUACUAUAAGUGUCAUUAAGUACAAACUAUCAAUAUUUAAGAGUACUUUAAAUCAUCAUUACAUUUUUUAAACAUUUUUUGUUUUUUUUUUGUUUUUCAAAUCAUGUAACAAAACGUUUGUGCAGAACAAAAUGUCACAUGUUAUGAACUUGAUUGUGGGUUAAUCGUUUCUUAAAUUUCUAAAUGUUUAUAAGAAUGCUAAGAAUAAUUUAGUAUUCACUUUAGUGUGUGUAUUAUCUCUACAAUGCUAGUUUAAAUGACAAUUAUUGUAUGACGAAGCAUAAGUAGUAUUUAUAGAUGUAAUAUUUUCAUACAAGGUCAUGAUCUGUCACGAUCAACUUUAAGCAAGAACUGCUAUCAUUAAGAAACAAAUUUAUUAAAUUUAAUUCAAAUUGUCUACUAUGUUUAUAAUGGAAAGCUGACAUGUUUAUAUUUCGCACAAAUGACUUAAUUGACAUUGAAUGAUUUGAUUAUCUAGACUUAAUUAACUUUUAGAUAACUUUCGAUUUAAUGUUAAUAAGUACGCUAGUAGGAUUAAUCUAGAGGAGUUAUUGUUAUUCGAAGUUUUAUACAAUUGUACGUUCAUACAAUCUUUUAACCGAAAAUUGUUUGUAAUAUAGGGAAAUUAAAUAGCUUACAGAGAAUUACAGCUUUUUAUUUUAAAAAACUGUUUUCUCUCUGUAUGAAAAGAUCUUAUCGAUUAGAAUGCUGAACACAAUCAAACAUUCCUUAAUAUCUCAUAAGUACUACCGGGAAUUCCAGCGAUUCUAAACGAUAAGAUUUUUUCAUAAAGAGAGUUAUUAAAAAUAUUAAAAUUACUAAAAAAGCCACCUGGUGGGGGGUAGGGAGACUAAUAAUCGACUGUAGCGACGCCUGCUGGACCGGGCUUUAACUAAAGCAAAAAUAAAAAUGAGAGUUGCGCAUCUAUCUCUAAUAUAUUAAGUGUAUAAUCUAUGGUGAUGACCACGACCACUCUGCCAAGAGUAUAUACGACUGAGAAGAAGAAAACUGGACUAUGACGUCUUGUGAGUCCGAAUAGGUAGCUCUAGAAAUAGGCGGGGUUACCUACCAGUAAUGCGUUUCGGUUUGAAGGAGGACAGCCGUUGUAUUAUAAAAACUGAAACCUGAACUCAUGUCUCGAGGUGGAUGGCGGCAUGUACGUUGUGGAUGUCUAUGGACUCCGGUAGCCAUUAACACCAGGUGGGCCGUGAGUUCGUUCAUCCAUCUAAGUAGGUAAUAAAAAAGUGCAAAAAACUGUGUAAGAAAAUGAAUUUGGGGGAUUAUAAGUGCGCAGUAAUUAGUAAUGGAUCAUGAAAAUCGGUGAUGUGUACCAAAUGGAAAUCAGUGUAAGCGACGUCGAAAAUAGAUCACCUAUUAAAAUUAAGAUAUUAACAAAAAUAGGCCAGGAAGCAUUCAGAAUUCCAUGCGAACACACGGUUAGCACCGAACGCGGUGUUAACGAUUUAAAUUAAGGGUCACUAUUAAUUAAAAUACAGAGUAUUGUCUGUUGACUUAAAAUUUAAUAUAAGCUGAGUUACUUCGGCAUCAGAAAUGACUACAAAGAUUUUUAAUUUAGAAAAAAUUAUUAUAUUUAUAAGGUACGUCACCUGAGCUGAGAUUCCAAUUUUUUUGUCACGAUUUUACAAUUUUUAAAAUAGGCCUGCCGAUUUUCAAUUAUUCUAUUUCAUAUCAAAGGAAAUCCGUUAAUUACAUAAUAUGUACAUUUUUUUUUUUAAUUCGAGAGCGGAAGGAAAUAAGUUCUCAUUCACCACAAGCCCCGGUCAAACUAUCGUUUAUCGUUUUAAGGUAUAUUUUUUUAAAUGUGGUAAAUAAUGUCUAUAACUUCAAUGAUGUCAAAAUUUUAAUAAAAUUUAGAUCAAAAUGUUAUAAUUGAAUAUGGAUUGUUAAUGAUUAACGUUUUACUAUACUUUAUUAAGACAAUAAAUAGGUAUUUACUAUUUGUCGCUCACAACGAAUGUUAAAUGAAAUAAUUAUAAUAUACCAAUAGUAAUAAAA